rnacentral:rRNA from 1 species
AUUGAACGCUGGCGGCAGGCCUAACACAUGCAAGUCGAAUGGUAACAGGAAACAGCUUGCUGUUUCGCUGACGAGUGGCGGACGGGUGAGUAAUGUCUGGGAAACUGCCUGAUGGAGGGGGAUAACUACUGGAAACGGUAGCUAAUACCGCAUAACGUCGCAAGACCAAAGAGGGGGACCUUCGGGCCUCUUGCCAUCAGAUGUGCCCAGAUGGGAUUAGCUAGUAGGUGGGGUAACGGCUCACCUAGGCGACGAUCCCUAGCUGGUCUGAGAGGAUGACCAGCCACACUGGAACUGAGACACGGUCCAGACUCCUACGGGAGGCAGCAGUGGGGAAUAUUGCACAAGGGGCGCAAGCCUGAUGCAGCCAUGCCGCGUGUAUGAAGAAGGCCUUCGGGUUGUAAAGUACUUUCAGCGGGGAGGAAGGGAGUAAGUUAAUACCUUUGCUCAUUGACGUUACCCGCAGAAGAAGCACCGGCUAACUCCGUG